CUGCUGGUGUCACAAGGCGGAGUACUUGUCCCUGGCUCCUGCAGGUGCAAGGCCGCACUGGCAUCCAGGUGGCCAGUGGCCGUGGAGGGUGCCGACGAGCCACUGCUCUGGUGGCCAAAGCUGGAAGGGCAGGCGGGGUGCGUGGGUGUCCCUGGGAGGCCGGCCUCUGGGGCUCCUCUGCCAGGUGUGUCAAGGCCUUGUGGCCCAGGAGGGUCCCUACCUGGCACUCGGUAGAUGUUCUGCACCGCCCCCCCUGGGUCUGGGGCUGUUCGGCAUUCCCCCCAGGAUCUAACAUUCUGCAUCCCACCAAGGUCAGUGGACAUCGGGCAGAUUUUCCCAGGUGGGCAGAUGAACGGCAACCCCAUGGGCCACACAAGUGAGGGGAUGAAUCGUAAGGUGCUUCACUCCCUGCCUGGCGUGGGGAUCGGAUGGCGGCAAGCGAGGCCUUGAAUGGACACUCUUCCCAGCUCCCCGUUCCCGUGACGUCUCCUUUCCUCGGCGACCUCUCUGAGGGCUGCGGAAGGGGCAGCUCUUUCCAACCGGCUAUUCUAUUUUAUUAUUUUAAAAUUGUUUUACUAAUUAAUACUGUCGGGUAGAUCUUGCUAAUUGUUGCUGCCCCAAGUGUUUUAUAGCUCUAGAACUUGAAAACCCUCUUCUUUAGCUUCGAGGGAAGUUCUGUCAGUAUUUUGAUUAGAAUUACACCAAAUGGCUACAUCAA